rnacentral:rRNA from 1 species
CCUACGGGAGGCAGCAGUGGGGAAUAUUGCACAAUGGGGGAAACCCUGAUGCAGCGACGCCGCGUGAGUGAAGAAGUAUUUCGGUAUGUAAAGCUCUAUCAGCAGGGAAGAAAAUGACGGUACCUGAUUAAGAAGGCCCGGCUAACUACGUGCCAGCAGCCGCGGUAAUUCGUAGGGGGCAAGCGUUAUCCGGAUUUACUGGGUGUAAAGGGAGCGUAGACGGCAGCACAAGGCUGGAGGGAAAUGCCUGGGCUUAACCCCCGAACUGCUGUGGAAACUGUGCGGCUAGAGUGCAGGAGAGGUAAGUGGAAUGCCUAGUGUAGCGGUGAAAUGCGUAGAUAUUAGGAGGAACACCAGUGGCGAAGGCGGCUUACUGGACUGUAACUGACGUUGAGGCUCGAAAGCGUGGGGAGCAAACAGGAUUAGAUACCCCAGUAGUC